UCUGCCUCGCAGAACCACCCUCCUGGGGAAGGAGCCAGUGUUUACCCUUGUGUGAUUCUUAAGCAUUUCCUGAGCAUCUGCUGAGCCCUCCACUCUGCAGGAGGUCUCUCUGCAACAUGCAAGUAAUUUCCUUCAAUAAACAUUCAUCAUGUACNUUCCGUGUUGCAGAGAAUAAGGCUGUACCCAGAGGCAAGGCCUUGCCCUCUUCAAGCUUACCUUCCAGGGGCAUGUGAAACUAGGGAAAGAGAUGGAAAUAUGUAAUUAUGACAAGAAUAAGUUUCUUGUCCUUAAGGAGUUAUCAUUGAAUAGGGAAAAUAAAGCAUGGUGAUUGAUCAACAGUAUUUUAUCUAAAAGCCACAGACAAUGUCCAGUUAGUCAACCAUUAGCUGAUGGUAAGAACAAUGGCCUCUGGUUCCAUUAUGUUGACAAGGAAGCAUGGUGGAGAGAGUCCUGGUCUGGACUGAGCCCACCCCGAUGGGCUUCCAUGCUCAGCCAUCUGCUGACUGUGAGAUCCUGAGCAAAUGAUUUAACCUUCCUGAGUUGUAGACUCAUCUGUUAAAGGGUCUGCCUUACUUCCGUGGUGGUUUGUUGUGACAUAGGUAAAUUAUAUAUAUAAGCUGCAUGCAAACUAGAAAGAGCAGCAAGAUGCAGUUAUUAUUCUUAAGACAAAAGGUCAGUAUUUUCAAAAAGAAAACAUUCCAAAUGUGAUGCUAGCUCUCCUCAGAUACCCAAGGACUAGAGAGUUCAGACAGUGAUGAGCAUAGCCAUACCAAGUACAUCCAUCUGAAAAAUAUUGGGGUAACUCUCCCCAUGACCUUCCACCAGACCAGGGUGAGCUUUAAGUGGAAUUUUCCACCAUUGAUUUGAUAUGAGGGUGAUUUCUAAACUGGUUACUGACGUUUGAAACCUAUAAUCAGAAUGUUAACACUUUAGCUUAAGUUAGUUAGAUGGGGUUUCGUUACCUGUCAGCUGAGAAUGAAGUUGUAUUCUUGACUACAAGUAUAACAAUGUAAUUCAUUCACUCAACCAGCAUCCACUCUUCAGGGGAAGACAACCUGUCUGGGAAAACAAAGGUGGUCAAGACAGAUACAUUCCUAGUGUUCAGGGAGCUAUGUCCAGUGGAGACUUGAGACACCAAACUAGCAAUAGCAGGAGUUAAGUACAGUGAUAGGAGAGGUCAGAGGCACGUGGAGACACCAACCAGGAGCGUCUCAACCAGACUGAGAAUUGGGAGAGGUGGUUGGGAAAUUGCUUGGGGAAGAAGUGCUACUUAAGUUGGUAGCUAGAGGGUGAGCUGGAAUAAACUGUGAAGGGGAGAGGCUCCUGGCAGAGGGAACAGCUUAUGCAAAGGUGCAGAGGGGAAAGAGUGGGCAGGAACUGAAAACAAACCCUGGAGCCAAGAGGGAGGAGGGCAAGGGCAGGGGGUCUAGAGAAGAGGCUGCUCUGCCAGCCGGGUACUGAUGAUGAAGGAUUCCAUGUGCUUCGGAAACCAGUUUGGACGUCCUUCUUAGGAAAGGUGACCGGUCUGCCAGGGACAGUCAUGGUUUAUGCCUGUUGCCUCAGGGGAAUGAUGAAUAGCACCAUUUCCUUUUCACUC
ensembl:lncRNA